GACCUCGGAUCAGGUAGGAAUACCCGCUGAACUUAAGCAUAUCAAUAAGCGGAGG
rnacentral:rRNA from 1 species